GUAGGGGGCUAGCGUUAUCCGGAUUUACUGGGCGUAAAGGGUGCGUAGGCGGUCUUUUAAGUCAGGAGUGAAAGGCUACGGCUCAACCGUAGUAAGCUCUUGAAACUGGAGGACUUGAGUGCAGGAGAGGAGAGUGGAAUUCCUAGUGUAGCGGUGAAAUGCGUAGAUAUUAGGAGGAACACCAGUAGCGAAGGCGGCUCUCUGGACUGUAACUGACGCUGAGGCACGAAAGCGUGGGGAGCAAACAGGAUUAGAUACCCUGGUAGUCCACGCCGUAAACGAUGAGUACUAGGUGUGGGGGUUUCAACACCUCCGUGCCGCCGCUAACGCAUUAAGUAUUCCGCCUGGGGAGU
rnacentral:rRNA from 1 species